CGCCUACGGGAGGCAGCAGUGGGGGAUAUUGGACAAUGGGGGGAACCCUGAUCCAGCGACGCCGCGUGAGUGAAGAAGUAUUUCGGUAUGUAAAGCUCUGUCAGCAGGGAAGAAAGCAAUGACGGUACCUGACCAAGAAGCCCCGGCUAACUACGUGCCAGCAGCCGCGGUAAUACGUAGGGGGCAAGCGUUAUCCGGAAUUACUGGGUGUAAAGGGAGCGUAGACGGCUGUGCAAGUCUGAAGUGAAAUGCCGGGGCCCAACCCCGGAACUGCUUUGGAAACUGUACAGCUAGAGUGCAGGAGG
rnacentral:rRNA from 1 species